AUACGGAGGGUGCAAGCGUUAUUCGGAAUCACUGGGCGUAAAGGACGCGUAGGCGGGUUGGCAAGUCAGAUGUGAAAUCCUACAGCUUAACUGUAGAACUGCAUUUGAAACUGCUAACCUAGAGUAUGGGAGGGGGAGAUGGAAUUAGUGGUGUAGGGGUAAAAUCCGUAGAUAUCACUAGGAAUACCGAAAGCGAAGGCGAUCUCCUGGAACAUAACUGACGCUAAGGCGUGAAAGCGAGGGGAGCAAACAGGAUUAGAAACCCUUGUAGUCC
rnacentral:rRNA from 1 species